rnacentral:misc_RNA from 1 species
UCCGGCUUGACGCCGGCAGUCCCCCGAGAGUCCUCAGCUUUACCUGUUAGUAACACGGGGCAAGGGUUGCGCUCGUUGCGGGACUUAACCCAACACCUCACGGCACGAGCUGGCGACAGCCAUGCACCACCUGUGCAGGCUCCGUAGAGCGCCGGCUCUCACCGGCUUUACCCUGCAUGUCAAGCCCAGGUAAGGUUCUUCGCGUCGCAUCGAAUUAAGCCGCAUGCUCCGCCGCUUGUGCGGGCCCCCGUCAAUUCCUUUGAGUUUUAGCCUUGCGGCCGUACUCCCCAGGCGGGACACUUAAUGCGUUAGCUUCGGCACGGGGGGAGUCGACACCCCCCACACCUAGCACCCAUCGUUUACGGCGUGGACUAC